GUGAACAGAAAAGAAAGCAAAAACGCCAUUUGAUUUUCAUUUCGUUUCUGUCUCUUUCUCUCUCUCGAAUCUUCCCGCCGUGCCGGGGAAUUUGUGAUUGGUUUUGCCGGCCGCUGCUGUAGCUGUGGAGACAGGUGGUCCACUUGAAGUUGUGUUUCUAUACGCUUUGUUAGUGAGGGAAUUUGAUGGUUUGCGACGUUAUUUUGUGUCGGAUGAAACAGAGUUUUUUCGUGGAUUUGAUUGCAUUGGUGCUUUUUUGGCAUUUUGUUUUGGUUGGUGCCGACUGAAAAUUUGGCAUAAUUGAAGAACUGAAGAAGAAGAAGAACUAGAAGUUGUUUCCGAAAGGUUCGUAUUGUUUUAAGGUCUGUUACUGUUAGUGUAGUUGAAGGCGAGCUGGAGGAAGGAGGACGAAAAAUGGAGGCGGAUUUUCAGCAACAGCAGCAUAUUCUCCAUGAACAUCAGCAGCAGCAACCGCAGAUGAGUUCUGGAUUGACACGAUACCGUUCUGCGCCGAGUUCGUAUUUCAGAAGACUGACGGACAGAGAAUUCUGUGAUCAGUUUUUCAAUCGACCUUCGAGCCCCGAAACUGAACAGAUUUUCGCGCAGUUUAUGACAAGCGGCAGCGCUGGUGAUGGAGGCGGCGGUCCAGUAUGUUCAUCUCAGAACCUGGACGAGUCUCAGAAGAACGCUCAGGCUGGAGAUAUAACUACUGAAGCAAAUCAACAAACACCUUAUGUGAAUAACGAAACAAGAGCUAUCCACCAGCAGCCGAGCAUUGUCAACAGCAAUUUCCUCCCGGCUUCAUCAACUCCAUCAAGUUACCAUCAGAAUUUGAUGAAACCUCCACUUCCAAAUCAGAAUUUGAUUCCAGAAGCGGAGGGAUCUGGUUCGAUGGGAGUUGAUCUGAAGCCUCAGAUAAGAACAGAUGGUGGAAGAUCUUCGAAUCUCAUUCGGCAAAGUAGCUCCCCUGCUGGACUAUUCGACUACAUAAAUCUCAAUGCUAGCGGAUAUGCUGCAUUGACGGGCUUGGGAAAUUCUGGAACUGGUAGUAGCUUUAAUGAAGAAACAUUUUUUUCUUCUCCAAGCAGGUUGAAAAAUUUCUCACCAAGGGCCUUACCACCGCACUCUUCAGGGUUGAUGAGUCCCAUGGCUGGAAUUGAGAAAAAAAAAAUCAGAGAAACCAAUCAAGAUACUAAAGGCUUUGCCGGAAGCCAAACCAGCGAUUAUGGUAGUACUAGCUUCCCAGUUGGUUCUUGGGAUGAAUGUGCUGUCAUGUCUGAUAACAUUGUUAGUCGAAAAGCACUUGAAAAUGACGACGACAAGGAGAAGUACUCAAAUUUGAACAUUUCAGACACUCAGAAAGUGGAUCCCAGAAAUCGCCCUCCCAUGCUUGCUCGUCAUCUUACUUUGCCAAGUACUGCAGCAGAAAUGAAUGCUGUUGAAAAGAUCUUGCAGUUUUCAGAUUCUGUUCCUUGUAAACUUCGAGCCAAGCGUGGCUGUGCUACUCAUCCCAGAAGCAUUGCAGAGAGAGUCAGACGAACUAAAAUCAGUGAACGAAUGAGGAAGCUUCAAGAGCUGGUGCCCAACAUGGACAAGCAAACCAACACAUCAGACAUGUUAGAUUUGGCAGUUGAGUACAUAAAAGGCCUUCAGAAACAGGUCCAGACACUUACAGAUAAUCGUGCAAAAUGUAAGUGCUCACAUAGGCAGCAUCAAUAGCCAAAAAAAGUCUUUGGCGUGGAAAUUCUUAUGUACAGAGCCUUGCAAUUUGUAAAUUUAGGGUAGAACAGGAAACUCUCUGAGCAACUUAUUUGUGUAUUAAUUAAGAAGAAAUAGUGAGUCAACAUGAUUUGCUGUGAAGGAAGUUUGCAGAACAAAAAAUGAAGACAAAGAACUGCUGAAAGCUGGCUGUGCAUAAAAGUUGGAGAGACGCCGAAUCAAAUUCAUUCAAACUCUCCGGGGAAAAAAACAGAAAGGGAAUCGACAUUGUGGGAUGUAUCAGUAUCAAAAUGGUACCAUCUUCCACUUCUCUUUCAGAUGAGUACUUUAUAAGAUUAGUGGGUUUCAGUUCAGUGUUUUCUUUCAUAGAAUGUGUGAAAAAGGGUUUUCUGUAUGAUUUCUGUAUAUAUAUUUUUUUUCUUUCUGGGUCCCAAACCCAUUAGACACAACUGCUAAAUCUGUGAAAUUAAGACUUUAUUGGCAACUUUAAUGAGCUUGUAAGGGGGAAGUUUGAGAAGAAGAAGAAGAGUAGGGGAAAGUUAGGUGGAAAGAGGUAGCUUCUCCUAGUCUGUUUUGGAAGUAUUCAUUCUAUAAUUGGAGGGAGAGGGAGGGAAAAAGGAUGGGUGUGAGUAAUUAAGGAAUACAACUGCCCCCAUCUGCACGGAGCUUUCUGA